rnacentral:rRNA from 1 species
UGCAGUCGAGCGGUAAGGCCCUUUCGGGGGUACACGAGCGGCGAACGGGUGAGUAACACGUGGGUGACCUGCCCUUAGCUCUGGGAUAAGCCUGGGAAACUGGGUCUAAUACCGGAUAUGACUCCAUGACGCAUGUUGUGGGGUGGAAAGCCUUGUGCGGCUAGGGAUGGGCCCGCGGCCUAUCAGCUUGUUGGUGGGGUGAUGGCCUACCAAGGCGACGACGGGUAGCCGGCCUGAGAGGGCGACCGGCCACACUGGGACUGAGACACGGCCCAGACUCCUACGGGAGGCAGCAGUGGGGAAUCUUGCGCAAUGGGCGAAAGCCUGACGCAGCGACGCCGCGUGAGGGAUGACGGCCUUCGGGUUGUAAACCUCUUUCAGCCCUGACGAAGCGAAAGUGACGGUAGGGGCAGAAGAAGCACCGGCCAACUACGUGCCAGCAGCCGCGGUAAUACGUAGGGUGCAAGCGUUGUCCGGAAUUAUUGGGCGUAAAGAGCUCGUAGGUGGCCUGUCGCGUCGGCUGUGAAAACUCGGGGCUCAACUCCGAGCUUGCAGUCGAUACGGGCAGGCUAGAGUGCGGCAGGGGAGACUGGAAUUCCUGGUGUAGCGGUGAAAUGCGCAGAUAUCAGGAGGAACACCGGUGGCGAAGGCGGGUCUCUGGGCCGAUACUGACACUGAGGAGCGAAAGCGUGGGGAGCGAACAGGAUUAGAUACCCUGGUAGUCCACGCCGUAAACGUUGGGCGCUAGGUGUGNGAUCCCUUCCACGGGUUCCGUGCCGCAGCUAACGCAUUAAGCGCCCCGCCUGGGGAGUACNGGCCGCAAGGCUAAAACUCAAAGGAAUUGACGG